UUAAGUCCGUACGAGCGCAACCCUUGUCCUUAGUUACCAGCACGUUAUGGUGGGCGACUCUAAGGAGACUGCCGGUGGACAAACCGGAGGAAGGUGGGGAGUGACGUCAAGUCAUCAUGGCCCUUACGGCCUGGGCUACACACGUGCUACAAUGGUCGGUACAAAGGGUUGCCAAGCCGCGAGGUGGAGCUAAUCCCAUAAAACCGAUCGUAGUCCGGAUCGCAGUCUGCAACUCGACUGCGUGAAGUCGGAAUCGCUAGUAAUCGUGAAUCAGGAUGUCACGGUGAAUACGUUCCCGGGCCUU
rnacentral:rRNA from 1 species